ACCAUUAGCUUGUUGGUGGGGUAAAGGCCUACCAAGGCAACGAUGGUUAGCUGGUCUGAGAGGAUGAUCAGCCACACUGGAACUGGAACACGGUCCAGACUCCUACGGGAGGCAGCAGUGAGGAAUUUUGCGCAAUGGGGGCAACCCUGACGCAGCAACGCCGCGUGAGUGAAGAAGGCCUUUGGGUCGUAAAGCUCUGUCAACAGGGAAGAAGUUACAAUUGUUUAACAGAUGAUUGUAUUGACGGUACCUGUGGAGGAAGCGCCGGCUAACUCCGUGCCAGCAGCCGCGGUAACACGGGGGGCGCAAGCGUUAUUCGGAAUUAUUGGGCGUAAAGGGCGCGCAGGCGGUCUUGUCCGUCAGGUGUGAAAGCUCGGGGCUCAACCCCGGAAGUGCACUUGAAACAGCAAGACUUGAAUACGGGAGAGGAAAGCGGAAUUCCUGGUGUAGAGGUGAAAUUCGUAGAUAUCAGGAGGAACACCGAUGGCGAAGGCAGCUUUCUGGACCGAUAUUGACGCUGAGGCGCGAAGGCGUGGGUAGCAAACGGGAUUAGAUACCCCGGUAGUCCACGCAGUAAACGUUGUACACUCGGUGUAGCGGGUAUUAAAACCUGCUGUGCCCAAGCUAACGCAUUAAGUGUACCGCCUGGGAAGUACGGUCGCAAGACUAAAACUCAAAGGAAUUUGACGGGGGCCCGCACAAGCGGUGGAGCAUGUGGUUUAAUUCGACGCAACGCGAAGAACCUUACCUGGUUUGACAUCCUGUGAAUAUCCCGUAAUUGGAUAGUGCCUUCGGGAGCACAGAGA
rnacentral:rRNA from 1 species